AUUGAACGCUGGCGGCAGGCUUAACACAUGCAAGUCGAGCGGGGGAAGGUAGCUUGCUACUGGACCUAGCGGCGGACGGGUGAGUAAUGCUUAGGAAUCUGCCUAUUAGUGGGGAACAACAUCUCGAAAGGGAUGCUAAUACCGCAUACGUCCUACGGGAGAAAGCAGGGGAUCUUCGGACCUUGCGCUAAUAGAUGAGCCUAAGUCGGAUUAGCUAGUUGGUGGGGUAAAGGCCUACCAAGGCGACGAUCUGUAGCGGGUCUGAGAGGAUGGUCCGCCACACGGGGACUGAGACACGGCCCAGACUCCUACGGGAGGCAGCAGUGGGGAAUAUUGGACAAUGGGGGGAACCCUGAUCCAGCCAUGCCGCGUGUGUGAAGAAGGCCUUAUGGUUGUAAAGCACUUUAAGCGAGGAGGAGGCUACUCUAGUUAAUACCUAGGGAUAGUGGACGUUACUCGCAGAAUAAGCACCGGCUAACUCUGUGCCAGCCGCCGCGGUAA
rnacentral:rRNA from 1 species